UACCAUGCAGUCGAACGAUGAUCCCAGCUUGCUGGGGGAUUAGUGGCGAACGGGUGAGUAACACGUGAGUAACCUGCCCUUGACUCUGGGAUAAGCCUGGGAAACUGGGUCUAAUACCGGAUACGACCAUUCCACGCAUGUGGUGGUGGUGGAAAGCUUUUGUGGUUUUGGAUGGACUCGCGGCCUAUCAGCUUGUUGGUGGGGUAAUGGCCUACCAAGGCGACGACGGGUAGCCGGCCUGAGAGGGUGACCGGCCACACUGGGACUGAGACACGGCCCAGACUCCUACGGGAGGCAGCAGUGGGGAAUAUUGCACAAUGGGCGCAAGCCUGAUGCAGCGACGCCGCGUGAGGGAUGACGGCCUUCGGGUUGUAAACCUCUUUCAGUAGGGAAGAAGCGUAAGUGACGGUACCUGCAGAAGAAGCGCCGGCUAACUACGUGCCAGCAGCCGCGGUAAUACGUAGGGCGCAAGCGUUAUCCGGAAUUAUUGGGCGUAAAGAGCUCGUAGGCGGUUUGUCGCGUCUGCUGUGAAAGACCGGGGCUCAACUCCGGUUCUGCAGUGGGUACGGGCAGACUAGAGUGCAGUAGGGGAGACUGGAAUUCCUGGUGUAGCGGUGAAAUGCGCAGAUAUCAGGGAGGGAACACCGAUGGCGAAGGCAGGUCUCUGGGGCUGUAACUGACGCUGAGGAUCGAAAGCAUGGGGAGCGAACAGGAUUAGAUACCCCUGGUAGUCCCAUGCCGCAAACUUU
rnacentral:rRNA from 1 species